GGAUGAACGCCGGCGGUGUGCCUAAUACAUGCAAGUCGAGCGCAGUGCUUGCACUGAGCGGCGGACGGGUGAGUAACACGUGGGCAACCUGCCCCAAAGCGGGGGAUAACAUUUGGAAACAGGUGCUAAUACCGCAUAACUUGGAACCACAUGGUUUCCAAUAAAAGAUGUUCGUAUCACUUUGGGAUGGGCCCGCGGUGCAUUAGCUAGUUGGUAAGGUAACGGCUUACCAAGGCGAUGAUGCAUAGCCGAGUUGAGAGACUGAUCGGCCACAAUGGAACUGAGACACGGUCCAUACUCCUACGGGAGGCAGCAGUAGGGAAUCUUCCACAAUGGGCGCAAGCCUGAUGGAGCAACACCGCGUGAGUGAAGAAGGGUUUCGGCUCGUAAAACUCUGUUGUUGGAGAAGAACGUGCGUAAGGUAAUUUACGCAGUGACGGUAUCCAACCAGAAAGUCACGGCUAACUACGUGCUAGCAGCCGCGGUAAUACGUAGGUGGCAAGCGUUAUCCGGAUUUAUUGGGCGUAAAGCGAGCGCAGGCGGUUGCUUAGGUCUGAUGUGAAAGCCUUCGGCUUAACCGAAGAAGUGCAUCGGAAACCGGGCGACUUGAGUGCAGAAGAGGACAGUGGAACUCCAUGUGUAGCGGUGGAAUGCGUAGAUAUAUGGAAGAACACCAGUGGCGAAGGCGGCUCUCUGGUCUGCAACUGACGCUGAGGCUCGAAAGCAUGGGUAGCGAACAGGAUUAGAUACCCUGGUAGUCCAUGCCGUAAACGAUGAGUGCUAGGUGUUGGAGGGUUUCCCCCUUCAGUGCCGGAGCUAACGCAUUAAGCACUCCGCCUGGGGAGUACGAUCGCAAGGUUGAAACUCAAAGGAAUUGACGGGGGCCCGCACAAGCGGUGGAGCAUGUGGUUUAAUUCGAAGCUACGCGAAGAACCUUACCAGGUCUUGACAUCUUGCGCUAACCUAAGAGAUUAGGUGUUCCCUUCGGGGACGCUGAGACAGGUGGUGCAUGGCUGUCGUCAGCUCGUGUCGUGAGAUGUUGGGUUAAGUCCCGCAACGAGCGCAACCCUUGUCAUUAGUUGCCAUCAUUAAGUUGGGCACUCUAAUGAGACUGCCGGUGACAAACCGGAGGAAGGUGGGGAUGACGUCAAGUCAUCAUGCCCCUUAUGACCUGGGCUACACACGUGCUACAAUGGACGGUACAACGAGAAGCGAACCUGCGAAGGCAAGCGGAUCUCUGAAAGCCGUUCUCAGUUCGGACUGUAGGCUGCAACUCGCCUACACGAAGCUGGAAUCGCUAGUAAUCGCGGAUCAGCACGCCGCGGUGAAUACGUUCCCGGGCCUUGUACACACCGC
rnacentral:rRNA from 2 species